UACGUAGGGUGCGAGCGUUAAUCGGAAUUACUGGGCGUAAAGCGUGCGCAGGCGGUUCGUUGUGUCGGUGGUGAAAUCCCCGGGCUUAACCUGGGAAUGGCCAUGGAAACUGGCGGACUGGAGUGUGGCAGAGGGGGGUGGAAUUCCGCGUGUAGCAGUGAAAUGCGUAGAGAUGCGGAGGAACACCGAUGGCGAAGGCAGCCCCCUGGGCUAGCACUGACGCUCAGGCACGAAAGCGUGGGGAGCAAACAGG
rnacentral:rRNA from 1 species